UGGUAGAUGCACCCUGAAUCCACCCCGGAGGGAGACCUUCGGGGCUUUUUUU
rnacentral:sRNA from 1 species